rnacentral:snRNA from 1 species
AGGGCGAGGCUCACCCAUUGCACUCCGGAUGUGCUGGCCCCUGCAAUUUCCCCAAAUGUGGGAAACUCG